rnacentral:rRNA from 1 species
CGAACGUGGGGAACCGUGCCCCACUAGUCUGGGAUACCACUUGGAAACAGGUGCUAAUACCGGAUAAGAAAGCGGAUCGCAUGAUCAGCUUUUAAAAGGCGGCGUAAGCUGUCGCUAUGGGAUGGCCCCGCGGUGCAUUAGCUAGUUGGUAAGGUAAAGGCUUACCAAGGCGAUGAUGCAUAGCCGAGUUGAGAGACUGAUCGGCCACAUUGGGACUGAGACACGGCCCAAACUCCUACGGGAGGCAGCAGCG